rnacentral:rRNA from 1 species
UACGUAGGGGGCAAGCGUUGUCCGGAAUCAUUGGGCGUAAAGCGCGUGUAGGCGGCUUGGUAAGUCCGCUCUGAAAGCCCGGGGCUCAACCCCGGGAGGCGGGUGGAUACUGUCAAGCUCGAGUCCGGAAGAGGCGAGUGGAAUUCCUGGUGUAGCGGUGAAAUGCGCAGAUAUCAGGAGGAACACCAAUGGCGAAGGCAGCUCGCUGGGACGUGACUGACGCUGAGACGCGAAAGCGUGGGGAGCGAACCGA